CAAUUGGGGGGGGCCAAUCCAGUCAGUUGAGCGGAACGACUGGGAGCUUUGCGCCCAGGCGUGAGCGGCGGAGGGGGGGGGCCGGUGGGAAUAUGCCCAUAGGGGGGGAUAACUCGGGGAAAGCAUGGAGCUAAUACCGCAUAAUCCCUACGGGGGAAAGCAGGGGAUCUUCGGACCUUGCGCUGAUGGAUGAGCCCGCGUCGGAUUAGCUUGUUGGUGGGGUAACUGGCCCACCAAGGCGACGAUCCGUAACUGGUCUGAGAGGAUGGCCAGUCACACCGGGACUGAGACACGGCCCGGACUCCUACGGGAGGCAGCAGUGGGGAAUCUUGGACAAUGGGCGCAAGCCUGAUCCAGCCAUGCCGCGUGUGUGAAGAAGGCCUUCGGGUUGUAAAGCACUUUCAGUAGGGAGGAAGGCUUCGGGUUAAUACCCUGGAGUACUUGACGUUACCUACAGAAGAAGCACCGGCUAAUUUCGUGCCAGCAGCCGCGGUAAUACGAAAGGUGCGAGCGUUAAUCGGAAUUACUGGGCGUAAAGCGCGCGUAGGCGGUGUGUUAAGUCGGAUGUGAAAGCCCAGGGCUCAACCUUGGAAUUGCAUCCGAUACUGGCACGCUAGAGUGCAGUAGAGGGAGGUGGAAUUUCCGGUGUAGCGGUGAAAUGCGUAGAGAUCGGAAGGAACACCAGUGGCGAAGGCGGCCUCCUGGACUGACACUGACGCUGAGGUGCGAAAGCGUGGGGAGCAAACAGGAUUAGAUACCCUGGUAGUCCACGCCGUAAACGAUGUCUACUAGCCGUUGGGGGUCCUUAGUGACUUUUGGUGGCGCAGCUAACGCGAUAAGUAGACCCGCCUGGGGGAGUACGGCGCAGGUUAAAACUCAAUGAAUUGACGGGGGACCGCACAGCCGCUGGCAGCAUGUGCUUUAAUUCGAAUUGCAACUCUCGGAAGGAAGCACCUGUAUACCCAGCA
rnacentral:rRNA from 1 species